UACAGAGGUCUCAAGCGUUGUUCGGAUUCAUUGGGCGUAAAGGGUGCGUAGGCGGCGCGGUUAGUCGGGUGUGAAAUCUCGGAGCUUAACUCCGAAACUGCAUUCGAUACUGCCGUGCUUGAGGACUGGAGAGGAGACUGGAAUUUACGGUGUAGCGGUGAAAUGCGUAGAUAUCGUAAGGAAGACCAGUGGCGAAGGCGGGUCUCUGGACAGUUCCUGACGCUGAGGCACGAAGGUCAGGGGAGCAAACGGGAUUAGAACG
rnacentral:rRNA from 1 species